UGCAAUGCCAUGAGUUCAAAUAACUUGGAUUGUUACUGCAAUAGUUUCUUUCUUUUAUACUUGUUGCACUUGUAUGUUUUGCCUAUGUUAAUUGCCCUGCUUGAAUGGACCCGUUGUUGUUUAUUAUAGCCUUGUAUGUGUGCAAUUAGAUCCAUGGAUGAACGUAUGUGUAUGGGUUGGUGUUAGCAUAUGGCUGCCCUGUUUGAAUCUACACUCAAUGCUUGUGGUUUGUCCAUUGCCCUGUUGCAAUCUUGAUCAAAUUUUUACUAUCCACCACAACUGCCAUUGUUAACAUGAUUAAUAGGGUUGUUAUUGUAGGAAAUGAUUGUUAGCAAUGCAUUCAUGCCCCCUUUUGAAAUGGUGUUAAUGGAUUGCACGUGAAUUGAUGUAUGCUGGUUGAAAAAUAUGUAUUGCUUGGUCUUGUUAUGUAAAUUUGGUCUGCAACUGUCAUAGAAGUAAAAGUAUGUUGUGUUAAUGUGCACGAAGUUUGCCAUGUAAUGCUAUGUACUAAUGCUUUGGUGUACAUGUUUCUUCAUUGAAAUUUGAUUGAACACUUCAUGAAAUGAUUCUUUGGUGUAUAGAAUGCAGGUUGUUUGUGAUGUGCCGGGAUGACUUGGCUUGGUGUUUGACCAUGAUUCAAGAAUGUUUGGCAUGGAGGCUCAUGUCGAUAACUUGAAGAAAUAAAGCUUGCUUGCACAUGAAGAAAAUUGUCCAUGAAAUCAAGUGAAAGGAUGGAUAAGAAUGAAUCGUAAAAGGACAUUUUGAAUUAGGACUAGAAAUUAGGUCAGUUGACUUUGGUCAACUAGUUGAUCAAAAAGUUAACAGUUGACCAAAAGUCAACUAUAGGUCAAAGUCUUAUUUUUUUUGUAAUUUUUUUGUAUGAAUAUUGCAAAUGAUAUU
rnacentral:lncRNA from 1 species